rnacentral:tRNA from 1 species
UACCCCGUGGUGUAAUCGGCAACACAAGAGGUUCUGGCCCUCUCGUUCUAGGUUCGAGUCCUAGCGGGGUAACUA